rnacentral:rRNA from 1 species
UACGGAAGGCAGCAGUGGGGAAUAUUGCACAAUGGGCGCAAGCCUGAUGCAGCCAUGCCGCGUGUAUGAAGAAGGCCUUCGGGUUGUAAAAGUACUUUCAGCGGGGAGGAAGGCGGUGAAGUUAAUAGCUUCACCGAUUGACGUUACCCGCAGAAGAAGCACCGGCUAACUCCGUGCCAGCAGCCGCGGUAAUACGGAGGGUGCAAGCGUUAAUCGGAAUUACUGGGCGUAAAGCGCACGCAGGCGGUCUGUCAAGUCGGAUGUGAAAUCCCCGGGCUUAACCUGGGAACUGCAUUCGAAACUGGCAGGCUAGAGUCUUGUAGAGGGGGUAGAAUUCCAGGUGUAGCGGUGAAAUGCGUAGAGAUCUGGAGGGAAUACCGGGUGGCGAAGGCGGGCCCCUGGGACCAAAAGGCUGACGCUCGAGGUGCGAAAGCGUGGGGAGCAAACGAGGAUUAGGAUACCCGU